rnacentral:lncRNA from 1 species
UUCGCCAUCGGGAUUAAACAUAUUAGAAGGAAAUGGCAAAGACAAAGCCAUACGUACAUCUUGGCUCGUUUAUGUGGAAAAUUUUCAGCACAAUCAGUAACUAUACAAUGGUACUAUCUAUCAAGUGAAAAGUUACAAAACAUAAAGACAGACUUUGAUAACCAAAUACUCCAUUUGUUUUACCCUUUCCCAUAGUUUUCCAAUCAUAUUAUUCAUGCCUUCUUGCUAACACAAUCCAACUGGAGAGAGAGAUCCAAAAGUGAGGAUCACACUCCUAUCGGAUUCCAGCAGCCUGAAAGCAUAACCAAGACAUUGCUCAACUUCUAUCUACCCACAUGGAGGACACGAAAAAUGAGCAACUUUCAAAAACUAAAAUAUUUUAUGAUGCCAAACAUUGAUUAGAUUACCUAAUAUAUACAUAUAUGAUUCAUUCUUCUAUUUACAUUAUCCCAAGCCUAUAUGAUUAGAAGUUAGAACGUAUAAGUACCCUAUCUCAGCUGUCUUCAAUGGCGACUGCGCCCGGUGACGACAAUGGUCGUUUUGGAUGAUAUCCUUUGAUGAAAGACCAUACUUAGCAAUAACGGACAACUUUAACCAUCAUACGAAAGCAAUAUUACAAAAUCCUCAUAGCAAUUCCAAAAUUCAAAAUAUAAAAAUAUAAAAUUCAAAUAAUCCACUCAAAGAUAGCCACUGCCACCACACAACAGAAGAACAUAUACAUUUACGUGUCUCGUUUGAGACAAUAUAUACUAAUAUAGAUUUUCUUGAAGAACAGAUGUGUACAUACCUUUUCAUUUUCGCUUUCUAGUGCAGACGGGUGAACCCAAAAUACCUAAGCAUCGCAAGUCAAAAGUGCAAUAGAGCAUAGAGCAGACAUAAGCAGUGUAUAUAUCGGCUAAUAUAGAUGAUUUGUUAAUACAAAACACACCAUUAUAUCUCCUAGAUAAAAUUGAUAUAAUGUAUACCUUGAGAAAUAAGCAAAAAGAGCAAUAAGCAAGAAGACAGUAGAAUGUGUUGCUGUAAAACUCAAUGUGCAAUAAAAUUUCUCAUUCAAGCUAAUGAAUUUAUAGCUAAAAUGUAGGUUAUAAAGUCUCCAUUGUUAAACCUAAACCCUAAGGGCCCGUUUGAUAUGGGUUUAAAAGCAGGAUAAGUUAAAUUAAUAUGGAUUUAUGCAGUGUUUGGUAUUAUGUGCUACUAAUAUGGUCAACUCCAGGUUUAUCCCAAGACCCUAGCUUAUUUUGUGGGAUUAACCCACACUAAUUAUACCACCCUCCCCAUGGGAUAAAUUUAAUACCGAGAUGUUAAAAUCGAAAAUUGAUACCCUUUUCACGCCAAACGAUGCUGUGAGGAUACCAAUGCCUCCAUCUUAUUUUCAGAUUUGAGGACACGAAUGUCUUUUGGUAAAAUAUGUGAGGAUAAUUUAGGUAUUUGAUAUGUUAAUCCAACCUAUUCCAAUGGAUACCAAACACUUUUUGGGAUUAAUUACCAAUGAUAUCAAACACCCAUAUGAGAUUAGAAAUCAUGACUAAUCCACACUAAAUUAUCAGGAUAAUUUAUAUCCUGAUUAAUCCAAUACUGAAAACCAAACGGGAAGAAUUUGCUGAUUAUUAAUCGAUAGGUAAAUCUUUCCAAAUUUUUAUAUUUCUAAAAUUUAGUACUAAUCAUAAUAAAUGUAAUCUUUCCUAACAUAAUAAUUUUCCAUUGUUAAAUCUAAACCCUAAAAAUUGGUGGAUUAUUGAUCGAUUGGUAAAUCUUUUCAAAAUUUCAUUAUUCUAAAAUUGAGUACUAAUCAUAGUCAAAUAUAAUCUUUCCUAAUUGAAUACUUACCAUAGCGAGGCGGCGGAUUGUGUCGAUCUCGGCGGUGGCCGGCGCGGCGAAGCGAAUCGCGGCGGGAGGCAGAACGAAGAAAUUGGUGGAGUGGGGAGGCAGAUCGGAGCAGAUUUCGUUACCCCUUGAUUUCGUUACCGAGCUGAAUCGAUGACAACGAUGAUGCAGAUUCUUCUUUUGAAAGCGCCAUGGAUUAGGGUUUAAGAUUCUAAUGGGGAAGGGAGGAAAUCCUAUGAGUGAUCCACUUGAGUGGAGAAGCUGUCGAUUUGAGACGGGGGAUUUUUGUGUUAUGUGCCAGUGGGUGGAAUCGCCAGAAGGGCAGAUCACCGGGGGAUGGAAAUAUCGCUGACAUCGGAGAAGGUGGAAGGAUAUCUGGUGGAGGAGAGGAGAAUGGUGAAAUCAAUGGAAAUGAGAGUAGAGG